GGUCGUGUGGUAUAACGGUCAUUACACUUGAUCGAUGGUUUCCCUAGCAAACAAACAAGUUGAGCGCGCUAAAGGUUAGCCUACCUAACGCCUAAGUCGGUUCAAGGUAUCUCGGUUCGAGUACGAGCACGAUCA